CCUUGGUGACGAGCGGCGGACGGGUGAGUAACGCGUAUCCAACCUGCCGAUGACUCGGGGAUAGCCUUUCGAAAGAAAGAUUAAUACCCGAUGGCAUAGUUCUUCCGCAUGGUAGAACUAUUAAAGAAUUUCGGUCAUCGAUGGGGAUGCGUUCCAUUAGGUUGUUGGCGGGGUAACGGCCCACCAAGCCUUCGAUGGAUAGGGGUUCUGAGAGGAAGGUCCCCCACAUUGGAACUGAGACACGGUCCAA
rnacentral:rRNA from 1 species